GCCGGAGUGGUGAAAUUGGUAGACACAGGGGACUUAAAAUCCCCCGGCCCUUAAAAGCCUUGCGGAUUCGAGUUCCGCCUCCGGCA
rnacentral:tRNA from 1 species